rnacentral:rRNA from 1 species
GCCGCGGGAACACCGGCGGCCCGAGUGGUGAUCGUGAUUAUUGGGUCUAAAGGGUCCGUAGCCGGUUUGGUCAGUCCUCCGGGAAAUCUGAUAGCUCAACUAUUAGGCUUUCGGGGGAUACUGCCAGACUUGGAACCGGGAGAGGUAAGAGGUACUACAGGGGUAGGAGUGAAAUCUUGUAAUCCCUGUGGGACCACCUGUGGCGAAGGCGUCUUACCAGAACGGGUUCGACGGUGAGGGACGAAAGCUGGGGGCACGAACCGGAUUUAGAUACCCGGGUAGUCCCAGCCGUAAACGAUGCUCGCUAGGUGUCAGGCAUGGCGCGACCGUGUCUGGUGCCGCAGGGAAGCCGUGAAGCGAGCCACCUGGGAAGUACGGCCGCAAGGCUGAAACUUAAAGGAAUUGGCGGGGGAGCACAACAACGGGUGGAGCCCUGCGGUUUAAUUGGACUCAACGCCGGACAACUCACCGGGGGCGACAGCAAUAUGUAGGCCAAGCUGAAGACUUUGCCUGAAUCGCUGAGGAGUGGUGCAUGG